UCCCCCCGUUUUUGGCAAUGGUAGAACUCACACUGGUGAGGUAACAGGAUCCGGUGGUUCUAGACUUGCCAACUAUGGGGCGAGG
rnacentral:pre_miRNA from 1 species